GGUUGAUCCUGCCCGAGGUCACUGCUAUUGGGAUUCGACUAAGCCAUGCGAGUCGCGAGGGUUCGGCCCUCGNCUGACGGCUCAGUAACACGCGGAUAAUCUGCCCUUAGGAGGAGGAUAAUCUCGGGAAACUGAGAAUAAUAUUCCAUAGAUUUAGGAUGCUGGAAUGCACUUAAAUUAAAAGCUUCGGCGCCUAAGGAUGAGUCUGCGGACUAUCAGGUUGUAGUCAGGGUAACGACCUGACUAGCCUACGACGGAUACGGGUUGUGAGAGCAAUAACCCGGAGAUGAUAUCUGAGACACGAUAUCAGGCCCUACGGGGCGCAGCAGGCGCGAAAACUUCGCAAUGUGCGAAAGCACGACGAGGGAAUCCCAAGUGCUGGCUCGUUAGAGUCAGCUGUUUUUAUGUCUAAAAAGCAUAGAGAGUAAGGGCUGGGUAAGACGGGUGCCAGCCGCCGCGGUAA
rnacentral:rRNA from 1 species